UUUAGAUGCCUAAAAAUUCUUGUUCGAUCUGGCCACAAUGGAAAAUGUUAUAAAAAACGCUUAUUUUGAGGCGCUCUCAAACUGGAAUAAGUUGAGCAUCUCAUUAUCCCUGACAGAGUUUCCGAAAUUUUCAAUUGAAUGGGAGAAAGCGUAAGUAAGAGAGAGAAAAACUAUCGACAUUCAAGCUUAUCGAAAUAUUAAUAUGUUAAAAGAGAAAUCACGAUACACAAUUUUUUGCAAUAAGAAAAAUUAGUAACAGAAGCUGGGAAAUACGCAAUUUUUUAGUUAAUUUUGGCGUUUCAACAAGUAAGUUCUUAUUUGAUAAAUAUUUACGAAUAAUUCUUUACCUAUAAAUAGAAAUCAAGGCGAUUUUUUUUUAACUAAAACUUUUUUUAUUGCAAAUUAACAAGCCCUGAAAGAAAUGUGUACAUUGAUAAUUUCUUUGGAGAUUGCACCGUUGGCGGCGAAUAUAAAACGUGCUAAGUUUUAUGAAGAUAUCUUGUAAGACACAUAAGGUUUCUAUAUAAGAAACUGAUUUUGAUCGGCUAUCGGUUCGCGAUUAAUUUGUUUUCCCUUCUAAAAAUUGUAAUUUUGUUUACUCAAUACUUCUUGGUGACGCAAAACAAAACUUACAGGACCUUAUGGUGGUUGAUGAAGCCUCACAGCUACGCUCGCUUUUAGAGGAUUCGUAUUCAAUGGAAAAUGGUGUGGCAAAGAACAUAAUUCUGUUAACAUGAGAAAAAGUUAGACAAAAGAAGCCUAGUGUUAUGAAUUUGAAAUUGAUGAUUAAACGUUUAAUCCAACCGCUGCAUGAUGAAAGAGAAACGUUACUAUAUCACCUAUGACAUCGAGAUGGAACAAUGGUUGUGUGAUAAAGGUUUUGAGAGCUAUUCCAACCGCAUUUAAUAAACAUUGAACGACAAGACAUUGCUGGGUGUACGACCGGAAUUGUACAAGCAUUUCGUGCAAGUUAGAAUUUCUAUUAUUUUUACAGAAGAUGUAUUUACUUCAAUA